GAAUAUUUGCUUUUUAGUAUUUGUCUAGCAGGCGUCCGGUAAAAGGAUGCCCAC
ensembl:snRNA U7 U7 small nuclear RNA